rnacentral:lncRNA from 1 species
UAUAUAUAUAAUAUUUUAUAAUGGUAUCUACCUUACUGACAUUAUCAAGCUGUGCAAAGCCAGAUACAGGUAAUAAUAUUUCAUGACAAGUCUAAUCUGAGUUUAAUUAUAUUAAAUUAUUUCAGAAGCAUCUGCCUACCCUCAAUGACUCAAUUGCAAAGAAAGUCUUCUGCAAACACUGGAAAUGUUGGAAUCCUCAAGAAAAGCUUCUAGACCCUUGGCAGUCUGUGGGAAAGCACCAGAAGGAACUGCAAACUCAGAAUUGUUUGUAGGACUCAGUGUGAUGACCUUUCAUGCAGUGAAGAUCUUUCAUUCUGUGUUCUGUGAUGAUCAGAUGGUGGAGAUGUGGAAUAAGGAGAAAUUAUUAACAGAAUAAGGAGGAAACAGGUAAGAUGUCAACUCACAUCAAUUGAGAGACUUCCACUGACUGCAGUGGCCUUCAAAUUGAGCUUCAAACAUUUCCUGUAGGAGAAAAAGUAGUUUAUUUGGUGGCAGCUUUUGCAGUUUUAGUUUUACUAUGUAUCUCAACAGGUUUAUAAUUUGUCAGUUUUUGCUAUACAAAUGAAAUAUUGCCCAUGUUGUGUGCAACCUACCAAAACAAAAUAAAGACCUUUGCAUAUUGUGUGUAUAUUUUAUU